UUCGGUGACCAUAGGUACGGGGAAACACCUGUUCCCAUCCCGAACACAGCAGUUAAGCCCGUGCCGCCGAUGAUACUGCACGGCGGGAAAGUAGGUCGUUGCCGAGC
rnacentral:rRNA from 1 species